AAUAAAUUUUUUUUUGGUUACAAAGGAGAGGCAAAGCAAGAAAGCAAAAACUAAGGAGGUCUAAACCCAACAGGGGAAGGCAUGGUAGGAUCUACGUCCUGUUGCAGAAGCGAAUGACACUCGCCAAAGGGGGAGUCCAAGGUGUGGGAACCAAAAUCAAAGGAUAUUUUAAAUCUUGCACUAAUUAAUUGUAUAGAAAUGAUUAACUAAUAACAAGUGAAAUAGUGUACAUAAUUAAGUCAUUGUUCUCUGUUAUUUCCGAUUCCAAAGUUGCAAAAUCCCAUUAUGACCUAGCUGCUAAUCCCACCCUUCGAUUUCUCUUCAAAUCAACUUAGACAUAGAAGCUUCACUUCUUGAUCGUUCUUCAGUAUCUAGCAUUCGAAUUUAUGGUUAUCGCCGAGGCUUCUCACUUGUAAAUGGAGCUCCUCAAUGGUAAUGGGGGAUUAUCUUCUUUCUUCCAAUAUGCUUCCCCAAAUCUGAAGGGUUAUUUGGAUCAAAUUGCAGUGGAAAAUUAGUGAAAAUUAAUAGCAAAGGUGUUUUAAUGAACACUGUGGGAAAGCACAUUCAAUGAAGUAUGUGUGAAGAAGGAAAAUGAGAACGGAGUGAUUACUUUCGUAAUCUAAUUGUUAAAUAAAUCAUGAUUCCAUUGUAUUCCGUUGAAAACGGAGGGAAUCAAAAUGAGUGAAAACAAUAGAAUGGAAUAGUCAUCUUAAAAAUGAAUUAAAAUAAACUUACCUCUGUGGCUUUGGUUGUCGAAACAACCCUAUAUCCAUGUUGAAAGUUGCAUCUGAAAUAAAAAACAAAGAAGAAAAAUAAAUAAGAAGAAGCAAUCCUCGGAAUAUAACUGUACACAACAAUUCAAUUUUGUCAUUUAUUAUGGCUGAGCAAUUUUGUAAUGAAUGUAAAGUGUUAAAUCGGUCACAAAUGUUAGUAGUUAUUUGAACAUGUAAGGAUAUGCAUCCUGACAAAAUAAUUAUUAGGGAACUAACUAAAAUAUGGUUGUGAAAAAUAAAAUUGAUUGCAAUUCGAUUGAGGUCUUACCACAAUCACAACAUUGGCUGAUAUUCUUGAAAUUAAUCAAAGAAAUCACAGUCGUUGUAAGAUAACAUGUAUAGAUACAUAACAAAACAGAAUUCAUCAUUUCAUGGCCUUAUUGAACUUAUGAAAUGAGGCAGCACAAAACACGUGUUUAUUAUUGAUGUCUCUACUAGUACUAUCUGAGGGAUGGAAUUCAGGAUGGAUGAAUAUAUUUGCUGUUUUGAUGUGUUUGUGAGGGCACGCGAAGAAUUUAAAGAGAAAGAGAGAAAGAGAGAGUACCAUGUGAGGAAAUGGUGGAUGGAAUAGUGCGGAGGCAGUUAUAGUCAUGG
rnacentral:lncRNA from 1 species